rfam:Myceliophthora thermophila ATCC 42464 chromosome 3, complete sequence.
GGGUGCAUGGUCUAGUGGUAUGAUUCUCGCUUCGCAUCAUCGCGACUGUGAGCGGUCCCCGGUUCGAUCCCGGGUGCAUCCA